rnacentral:rRNA from 1 species
UGCUCCUAGUACGAGAGGACCGGAGUGGACGCAUCACUGGUGUUCGGGUUGUCAUGCCAAUGGCAUUGCCCGGUAGCUAAAUGCGGAAGAGAUAAGUGCUGAAAGCAUCUAAGCACGAAACUUGCCCCGAGAUGAGUUCUCCCUGAGACUUAGAGUCUCCUGAAGGAACGUUGAAGACGACGACGUUGAUAGGCCGGGUGUGUAAGCGCAGCGAUGCGUUGAGCUAACCGGUACUAAUGAACCGUGAGGCUUAACCUU